AUGGACGUGAGGCUGAGCUUGAUUUUCGUUUUUGCUCUUUUCAAAGGUGUCCAGUGUGAUGUGCAGCUGGUGGAGACGGGGGGAGGCUUGGUACAGCCAGGAGGGUCUCUAAAGCUCUCUUGUGCAGCCUCUGGAUUCACAUUCAGUGACUCCUGGAUGCACUGGGUCCGCCAGGCACCAGGGAAGGGCCUAGAGUGGGUUGGUAGAAUUAAACACAAAAGUAAUAAUUAUGCAACACAGUAUGCAGCAUCUGUGAAAGGCAGAUUCACCAUCUCAAGAGAUGAUUCCAAAAGCAUGCUCUACCUGCAAAUGAACAGCGUAAGAGUUGAAGACACUGCCAUUUAUUACUGUACUAUAAACACAGUGAGAUGA